rnacentral:rRNA from 1 species
UACGUAGGGGGCAAGCGUUGUCCGGAAUCAUUGGGCGUAAAGAGCGUGUAGGCGGCUCGGUAAGUCCGCUGUGAAAGUCCAGGGCUCAACCCUGGAAUGCCGGUGGAAACUGUCGAGCUCGAGUCCGGAAGAGGCGGGUGGAAUUCCUGGUGUAGCGGUGAAAUGCGCAGAUAUCAGGAGGAACACCAAUGGCGAAGGCAGCUCGCUGGGACGGUACUGACGCUGAGACGCGAAAGCGUGGGGAGCAAACAGG